UACGUAGGGGGCAAGCGUUGUCCGGAAUCAUUGGGCGUAAAGCGCGCGUAGGCGGCCCUGUAAGUCCGUUGUGAAAGUCAAAGGCUCAACCUUUGAAAGCCGAUGGAUACUGCAGGGCUAGAGUCCGGAAGAGGCGAGUGGAAUUCCUGGUGUAGCGGUGGAAUGCGCAGAUAUCAUGAGGAAGACCAGUGGCGAAGGCGGGUCUCUGGACAGUACCUGACACUGAGGCACGAAGGCCAGGGGAGCAAACGGG
rnacentral:rRNA from 1 species